GGUAAACUAGGUGCCAGCGGCCGAGUGAAAACGUGGGGGGCAAGGGGUGGCCGGAAUCAUUGGGCGGAAAGCGCGCGUAGGCGGCCCUGUAAGUCCGUUGUGAAAGUCAAAGGCUCAACCUUUGAAAGCCGAUGGAUACUGCAGGGCUAGAGGCCGGAAGAGGCGAGUGGAAUUCCUGGUGUAGCGGUGGAAUGCGCAGAUAUCAGGAGGAACACCAAUAGCGAAGGCAGCUCGCUGGGACGGUACUGACGCUAAGGCGCGAAAGCGUGGGGAGCGAACAGGAUUAGAUACCCCAGAGUC
rnacentral:rRNA from 1 species